rnacentral:lncRNA from 1 species
GUGUCGUGUGCGCCCGGGGAUGCAGCGUGCUGGCGUGGACGCGGUCAGGGCCCCUGUGAGGGCCUGGCACGCGCGCUCCGAGGCAAACCUGUUCCCUGCGGGGCGGACAUGUGGCUGUCGGAGAGGGUGGUGGCUCUUUGGGGGCGCCCAGGGGGUAGGCGAGGAAUUCUGCCGCCGAUGCGAAUGGGGCCGCCAGAGCGAGCCUUCCUCUGUCAGCACCGCAGCCUGGCUGCGCCAUUUUUGCUGCCCACGUUUUAGGGCUCCGCCAUCUUAUCCGUUUCCAGGGGGGUUGGGGAGUUGCUUGGGACGUUGAGUUUUUCCUUCUCAUGUUUUCCACCUCUGUGUUAGCUACACCUACUGUCUUUGGGAAAUCGCUCCUGUGUUUUUCGGUUCCACGUGGCUGGCAUUUUUGUGCAACGUAGAACAGAGACUAUGGGUGGAAGUGUAAGGGAGCGGUUUCCUAAGGUAGAGAAAGGCCAGGAAUGAAUGCUUGGCCAUGAUGACGAAGCAGAAUCCAGCUAACUAAACCCUCUCCACGCAUCUGGUUCUGUAAACAGAGUUUUGCAGCCACAACCGUGCCUGUUCUCACUCCGGUCUGUCCUGCCAAGCACGGACCGGAAGAGCUAGGCCACAAAAGCUUUGUGAAACCCUUCUUGGGGGCUGAGACUCCAGAGGGCGAUCUCCUCUGAGCCUGCCGGGGUAAUACACCUGAGUUCUCCAACUCUCCUAGUGCUCGCUUGGUUUCUCCUAGAGCUGCUGGAGCUGAUACGCUGCCGCCAUGGAGCUCCUGGCAGCUGCCGAAAUAUUUCUGGAGGCCCCAGUGAGAUUCCAACCAUUCUGGCCUCUUGAGCCACCAGAGCCAGGGCGAGGCCGCGCGGGGGUUGGGGGAGCCCAAGGAGCGAACGAGGUGACUGUGCCACCUGAUGGUAUCCCGGGUCCUCCUUCGUGAGUGGUGUUCCUUACUUCUGGCCAGCCCAACCCCGACGGGACUCGGCGGACGGAAGGCGUCCAGACAAGGAACUCCCAUGGAAUAGGUUUGAGGACAGCCCCAUGUAGACCCGUGACGCCGGAUGCGAGGACAUCUUGGUGUCGCCAUCGGGAAGGCUGUGGGCGGUUGUACCUCCUGCUGGAGUCUGUGUUCCAGUCUGAGAGCUGCUAGCUUGGCCUCUGUCCCUGAAGCAGGGGGUUCUUCCAGGAGUCCAUCAGCCUGGCCGUCCUCUCUGUGAGCUCAGAAGAGACUGCCCCCGAGAUCGAUGCCAUGGUGUGUGUCUAGAUUCUGAUGCUGUGAGUGUAAUGAAGCCAGAUCAGAGAGCCUGUUCUCAGCUAGGCGGCCGUUCCUCCAGAAGUUUGGCAGCCCCACCAGCCCCCUCGCUCCCGGGGGGGGCCUUGCCCCUUCAGCCUCCGCGCUGCUCUCCGCACAGAGCUGCCGUGGCCGUGGCUGAGCGAGCCCUGGGUGGGGCGAGCAACCUCUUCGACACACACAGCGCUCCUGGCCAUGGCGCAGCGCUUCCGGCAGAACCGCAGUGAACUCAUGACCACCUGGACCUGUGGGUCUAUGACGGGGGGAGGGGGGGCCCAGCCCUGUCCCUGGAUUCCGGGGAGCAGAUGCUGCGGGCGACCUGACCGGCGACACUGUCUUCAGCUACUGCUGCAAGGCUCUGCAAGACGCUGCUGGCCUGGCGCCAGCGCUGGAAGUCCUUCCUGCACUUGGAGACCACUGAGCCGCCCUCUGGCCCUGGAUCGCCAUGGAGGAGGGCUUCCAACUGGUGUGUGAGCUGGGCACGCUGGACUGGAUCUACCACGAGCCAAGCCCAAGUGCCUGGCUCCCAAAGACAUGCCUGUGGCGGUGCCUACUGACGGCCGCGCCCUCGGAGCUGUCCCUCUCCCUGGUCAGCCUGCUGGUCAAGGGCAUGACGGUGCUGAAGAUCCAGACCAUGGCCGCCAAGCUCCUGCUGGGGCCCAACCCGAUGAACACAAAUCGUGGGCUGGCUGCUGAGCCGCGGUGUGUCCAGGGAGCGGGUGGACCGGUGAACCACCAGGGUCCUCCUGGAGCUGCCCAUCAAAGGGGCCAAGCACAGCCGGGGCUGAGGCCCCCCACGUGCUGGUGGAGGAGCAGCCCCUGCCUCCCCGGUCCUCUGACCAGGCCUGCAGGGAGGAGCUGCAGUGCACCAGGACUACGCACCCCACAAUCCAGGCCACUUUCUGCUUGGUGCUGGGAGUGGAGCAGGGGCCCAUGUCGGAGAGACACAAAGUCUUGGCCAAAGCGCCUCCUGAUCGUCCCCAGGAUAGACAGAGGGACAGCACCCCCAGCUCCAGCCAUCUCCUGCCAGGCCAGACCCUGACCACGCAUCCUGAAAACCUCGGAGAGGGUCCUUGCCCCCGCCGCCGUGGGCAUCACUGGCCUGAGCUGGUGGAGAGCAGCCAGUUGGCUGGCGUUGCUGGUUGAGGGGAGAGAGUCCGUUAAAUAUUUCAGUCUGUUACACCUUAGCCUGAUAAGCGGGGUGGGUGGGCACCCACCGUUGUGCCACACGGGCCCCCAACGCACUACAGGCCAAGCUUGAGACCCCGCAUCCCACCCCGCAAAAGCACCUUCAAGUUUGUGCCCUUGCCCUUGAGGUUUUUUCUUUAACGCGGUGGCUGUACCUGAUACUUGACUUUAGGCGUGUGCGGCGCUUGGGUUUAGUGUCCUCACUACUGCUUUUGUGAUGGUUUUUCUCUAAGUUGUUUUUUUUUGUUUGUUUUUUUUGCAAUGCCCUUUUCUUGAAAUGGAAUUUUUUUGCCUUUUGCUUUCCUGGGAAAAGGGCAGCCAGUCCCUUCCAGUUUCUCUCGCUGCACGCGUGGCUGGAGUGUCUGCAUCACCAGAGUUCCAGCAUUGUGAGGAUGGACAGCCGUGGCAGGUGGUGCCGGACACCAUUAAAGAGCCCAUGUGCU